GGGCCAGUAGGUUGGUCGUGCCACCGGUACGUACUGGUCUCACUGAUUCCUCCUUCCUGAAGAACCGUAAUGCCAUUAAUUUGGUGUUGCGGGGAAACAGGACUGUUACUUUGAAAAAAUUAGAGUGUUUAACGCAAGCUAACGCUUGAAUACAUUAGCAUGGAACAAUGAAAUAGGACGAUCGAUCCUAUUUUGUUGGUUUCUAGGAUUGACGUA
rnacentral:rRNA from 1 species